AUUGAACGCUGGCGGCAUGCCUUACACAUGCAAGUCGAACGGCAGCAUGAUCUAGCUUGCUAGAUUGAUGGCGAGUGGCGAACGGGUGAGUAAUACAUCGGAACGUGCCCUGUAGUGGGGGAUAACUAGUCGAAAGAUUAGCUAAUACCGCAUACGACCUGAGGGUGAAAGUGGGGGACCGCAAGGCCUCAUGCUAUAGGAGCGGCCGUUGUCUGAUUAGCUAGUUGGUGAGGUAAAGGCUCACCAAGGCGACGAUCAGUAGCUGGUCUGAGAGGACGAUCAGCCACACUGGGACUGAGACACGGCCCAGACUCCUACGGGAGGCAGCAGUGGGGAAUUUUGGACAAUGGGCGAAAGCCUGAUCCAGCAAUGCCGCGUGUGUGAAGAAGGCCUUCGGGUUGUAAAGCACUUUUGUCCGGAAAGAAAUGGCUCUGGUUAAUACCUGGGGUCGAUGACGGUACCGGAAGAAUAAGGACCGGCUAACUACGUG
rnacentral:rRNA from 1 species